GGCCAGGUUGACCGGAAGGGUUUCCUUCUGGUCAAUGAGGUAGAUGUACCUCAUCAAUCAGAAGGGUUUCCUUCCGGUUGAUGAGGUACAUGUACCUCGUUGACCGGAAGGAACCCCUUCCGGUCAAAGAGGUU
rnacentral:miRNA from 1 species